GACGAACGCUGGCGGCGUGCUUAACACAUGCAAGUCGAACGGAAAGGCCCUGCUUUUGUGGGGUGCUCGAGUGGCGAACGGGUGAGUAACACGUGAGUAACCUGCCCUUGACUUUGGGAUAACAUCAGGAAACGGGGGCUAAUAUCGGAUAGGAGCUCCUGCUGCAUGGUGGGGGUUGGAAAGUUUCGGCGGUUGGGGAUGGACUCGCGGCUUACGAGCUUGCUGGUGGGGUAGUGGCUGACCAAGGCUUAGACGGGUAGGCGGCAUGGGAGGGUGGCCGGCCUCCAUAGGCCUAAGGUACGCCCCAGUCGCGUACGGGCGGCAACGGUGGGAAGUCUUGCCCAGUGGUCGCGCGCCUGUUACGACGGCGCCGCGUUCGGAAUGCCCGCCUUCGGGUUAUGAACCGCUUUCGCCUGAGACGAAGCGUUAGUGACGGUAAUGAAUAAAGAAGCACCGGCUAACUACGUG
rnacentral:rRNA from 1 species